GACGAACGCUGGUGGUGUGCCUAACACAUGCAAGUCGAGCGAAGUGAGUACUACGGUACGAACUUAGCGGCGGACGGGUGAGUAACGCGUGGACAAUCUACCCUGUAGACUGGGAUAACACCUCGAAAGGGGUGCUAAUACCGGAUAAUGUCGAGAAGCGGCAUCGCUUUUCGAAGAAAGGAGAGAAUCCGCUAUAGGAGGAGUCCGCGUCCCAUUAGCUAGUUGGUGAGGGUAACGGCCCACCAAGGCGACGAUGGGUAGCCGGCCUGAGAGGGUGAACGGCCACACUGGAACUGAGACACGGUCCAGACUCCUACGGGAGGCAGCAGUGGGGAAUAUUGUGCAAUGGGGGAAACCCUGACACAGCAACGCCGCGUGAGCGAAGAAGGCCUUCGGGUUGUAAAGCUCAAUAGUAUGGGAAGAUAAUGACGGUACCAUACGAAAGCCCCGGCUAACUACGUGCCAGCAGCCGCAGUAAAAC
rnacentral:rRNA from 1 species